rnacentral:pre_miRNA from 1 species
CCAGGAUGCCAGCAUAGUGAGUUCUGGUGAGGGCUGUUUUCCUGGUU